rnacentral:sRNA from 1 species
CCCAGCCUUUUUGGCUUCACCCACUCCGUUCGGGAGUUGGGGACCUGGCCUUUACAUUCCUUAGGGGAACUCCAGCUCCAGGUCCUAUUUGGAGGCGGCUCCUAGCUUCCUAGUUUUCUGGGGGCACCAGGUGAAAGGGUGAUGAGAUAUCCAUACAGCCUUUCUCAUGCCUCGGUUUCCCCCUUGCAGUCUCCCUGAAUAAGUCACUUGGGAAAGAAAGUGUGAGAAGAGAGGAAUGUUCCUGGUACAGGAGUAGAUGAGUCACGCUGGGUCUGAGAGUCACUGGAGCUACCAGAAGCACCAUGGGGCCCUGGGGAGAGCCAGAGCUCCUGGUGUGGCGCCCCGAGGCGGUAGCUUCAGAGCCUCCAGUGCCUGUGGGGCUGGAGGUGAAGUUGGGGGCCCUGGUGCUGCUGCUGGUGCUCACCCUCCUCUGCAGCCUGGUGCCCGUCUGUGUGCUGCGCCGGCCAGGAGCUAACCAUGAAGGCUCAGCUUCCCGCCAGAAAGCCCUGAGCCUAGUAAGCUGUUUUGC